UGUCUGCUUUGUACUGUUUGCCCAGG
rnacentral:piRNA from 1 species